rnacentral:rRNA from 1 species
GACGUAGGAUCCGAGCGUUGUCCGGAGUUACUGGGCGUAAAGCGCGCGCAGGCGGACACGCGCAUCGGCGGUGAAAGCCCCCCGCUCAACGGGGGGAGGGUCCGUCGAGAUGGCGUGUCUGGAGGCAGGGAGAGGCCAGUGGAAUUCCGGGUGUAGUGGUGAAAUGCGUAGAGAUCCGGAGGAACACCAGUGGCGAAGGCGACUUCCUGGCCUGUUCUUGACGCUGAGGCGCGAAAGCUAGGGUAGCAAACGGG